UGGGGAAUAUUGCACAAUGGGCGCAAGCCUGAUGCAGCCAUGCCGCGUGUAUGAAGAAGGCCUUCGGGUUGUAAAGUACUUUCAGCGGGGAGGAAGGGAGUAAAGUUAAUACCUUUGCUCAUUGACGUUACCCGCAGAAGAAGCACCGGCUAACUCCGUGCCAGCAGCCGCGGAAAUACGGAGGGGGCAAGCGUUAAUCGGAAUUACUGGGCGUAAAGCGCACGCAGGCGGUUUGUUAAGUCAGAUGUGAAAUCCCCGGGCUCAACCUGGGAACUGCAUCUGAUACUGGCAAGCUUGAGUCUCGUAGAGGGGGGUAGAAUUCCAGGUGUAGCGGUGAAAUGCGUAGAGAUCUGGAGGAAUACCGGUGGCGAAGGCGGCCCCCUGGACGAAGACUGACGCUCAGGUGCGAAAGCGUGGGGAGCAAACAGG
rnacentral:rRNA from 1 species